rnacentral:tRNA from 1 species
GCGGGGGUCGCCAAGCCUGGUCAAAGGCGCAGGGCUUAGGACCCUGUCCCGUAGACCGUCUAUGUCGGGCGGAUGGGUUCGUGGGUUCAAAUCCCACCCCCCGCA